rnacentral:rRNA from 1 species
CCUACGGGGGGCUGCAGUGGGGAAUAUUGGACAAUGGGGGGAACCCUGAUCCAGCCAUGCCGCGUGUGUGAAGAAGGCCCUCGGGUUGUAAAGCACUUUCAGUGAGGAAGAACGCCUGGUGGUUAAUACCCAUCAGGAAAGACAUCACUCACAGAAGAAGCACCGGCUAACUCCGUGCUAGCAGCCGCGGUAAUACGGAGGGUGCGAGCGUUAAUCGGAAUUACUGGGCGUAAAGCGCGCGUAGGUGGCUUGAUAAGCCGGUUGUGAAAGCCCCGGGCUCAACCUGGGAACGGCAUCCGGAACUGUCAAGCUAGAGUGCAGGAGAGGAAGGUAGAAUUCCCGGUGUAGCGGUGAAAUGCGUAGAGAUCGGGAGGAAUACCAGUGGCGAAGGCGGCCUUCUGGACUGACACUGACACUGAGGUGCGAAAGCGUGGGUAGCAAACAGGAUUAGAUACCCCAGUAGUC